CCCUUAGAUGUUCUGGGCCGCACGCGCGCUACACUGACGAUGUCAGAGAGUGUCUCCUUCACCGAGAGGUGUGGGUAAUCUUUUAAACAUCGUCGUGCUAGGGAUAGAUCAUUGCAAUUUUUGAUCUUAAACGAGGAAUUCCUAGUAAGCGCGAGUCAUCAGAUCGCGCUGAUUACGUCCCUGCCCUUUGUACACACCGCCCGUCGCUACUACCGAUUGAAUGGUUUAGUGAGGCCUUCUGACUGGCGCCGCUACUCUGGCAACAGAGCGGCGGAUGCCGGGAAGUUGGUCAAACUUGAUCAUUUAGAGGAAGUAAAAGUCGUAACA
rnacentral:rRNA from 1 species